CAUGCAAGUCGAACGGAAAGGCCCCUUCGGGGGUACUCGAGUGGCGAACGGGUGAGUAACACGUGGGUGAUCUGCCCUGCACUUUGGGAUAAGCCUGGGAAACUGGGUCUAAUACCGAAUAGGACCGCAUGCUGCAUGGUGUGUGGUGGAAAGCUUUUGCGGUGUGGGAUGGGCCCGCGGCCUAUCAGCUUGUUGGUGGGGUAAUGGCCUACCAAGGCGACGACGGGUAGCCGGCCUGAGAGGGUGUCCGGCCACACUGGGACUGAGAUACGGCCCAGACUCCUACGGGAGGCAGCAGUGGGGAAUAUUGCACAAUGGGCGCAAGCCUGAUGCAGCGACGCCGCGUGGGGGAUGACGGCCUUCGGGUUGUAAACCUCUUUCAGUAUCGGCGAAGCUCCAAGGUUUUCUUUGGGGUGACGGUAGGUACAGAAGAAGCACCGGCCAACUACG
rnacentral:rRNA from 1 species